rnacentral:lncRNA from 1 species
ACUUCCAAUCCCCAUGCACCAGCAUUUCCCUGCAGCAGCCUCAUUAAGGGCUGGUUUCAAAGCUCCUUCACAGGAGAGGAUAAUGAUGCCAAGGAAGAGCAGAUUUCUUGGGGGAAAGGGCAGGAGAGCGCUGUGAGCCUAAUGUGGAAACAGGCUCCCACUCCUGUCUCCACCACAAGAAGGCCAGAGAAGAGAACUGGGUCCGGGAAAGAGGGUCAUGGCUCUUCUUCUCUGUCCCAGCUGGCGCUCAGGGUGAGACAAGGAAGUUGAUGCUGACUGUCCAUCCUUGGAAGUGUGUCCAGAACCAUGGGAGCCAUAUGGCCACCAGCUGGAGAAUAAAGCCAACGUGGGAGAUGAUGGAGCUGAUGAAAAUACCCAGGACUAGAACAAAGCUGAAAGUACCAUGCCCAGACAUCACUGGAAGACACACAGGUCUUUAUUGGCCUGAGUGAGGCAAGGUUCCAGUUGUUUGUAUCCCAAAGCCUUCGAACUCAUAGCCAAGUGUGCCCUGGAGUUUACUCACUUCGCUCAUGAAACAUUAUGUUAGACACUGAGUUCCAGUACACAAGCUUGUCCAAUUUCUCAGUUCUAGGAAGCAGGCUUAUCUGAUCUCCCAGUUCAGGGCAGAUUAGAACUAGCAAGUGAGAGGUAGAUGAAGUGAGGGCAGCUGGUCAGGGAGGGAAGAGACACAGGUGGAAACCAGCACACAAGAUGUGGCACUGGAGGGCCAUCGAGUGUCCAGACAAACAGGUGCUCCCCUUCUGCCGCCCCAGUGUGUGCUGGAUACAGGCCAGUGACUGAGCCAUCACGACGGCCACGUGUCGUCAAAGGAAGUUUGCUUUCUUUCUGUUUUAGGAGGGGGAUGAGGCUGAAAAAUGUUUAAUAACACUACUUUGUAAACAAGGAAAAGGUUAAAUGAUUAAAAGGGUACACUUAUCUGAAAAGUCACACAGAGAACAAACUCACUAAACUCAACGAAUGAGUAUAAUAUACCCACAGAGAUGCAUGCAAAUAGAACCUCUAGAAAGUCAUCCAGAGAAAAGGAGGGAAAGAGCAGCAGGCAGUAGUCUGCUUGCUACGGAGAGCACUUCAUUUCAGGGUCCGCACGAGAAGCCCUGGAGAAGCCAAGCUGGCGACUGAGUACAAGGCUUUGCUCUUCUGCCAGUGGCUUGAAUAGACUCUGGUGGCUCAGAGAGCUGCCUAAGCUAUUCUCUCAGAAGCCCACUAGUGGGAAACAAAUAAGCUGCUUGACUUUUCUUGGUAGGAGGGGGUUGAACACUCCUAAUUCAAUGUAAAUAAUUCUCAAAGCCAAGCACUUGCAGCAAAAAUGACUGGAAUGGUCACAGACACUAAAACUGUGCCGUGCAAAACAGGUCCUGGGUCUCUGUGUGCACAAACACAGAGCCCAGCAGCUGAUGUAGUUACUCCGGGAGAAGCCACUCCAACCCAGUCAUUCCCAGCUACAUGCCGGGUGCCAGGGAGCUGCUACACUCCACUGGCACCAGAGUCUAAAGUUUGGGGUGGCUUGUUUACCAAGGAUGUGGGCAUGAAGGAUGCAGUGCUGAGGUGUGAGACGAACAUGGGGGUUCUCUGCAAUCCUCCAGUCACCUUUCAAUCUUGCAGAGCCUACACCCAACAGAGCACUGCUCUGCUUUAACACAGAAACUUACAAAUAUGCAAAUCAAGGUAAAUAAAAAGGAAAAAUUGGGUACCUUUUCUGAUUACUCACCCAUUUGUGUGUGUGUUACACACAAUUUUUAAAUGAACAGUAGGUGAUGUAUGAACCUCAGUGUUAUUUAAGGAAAACCCAUAAACAAUUAAAUAAAUUUACCAAGAAUGAAACGUAAGACUUUAGAUUAGUGGUUUCGAGUGGUCUUUUUUUACUUCAUGCAAGAAUAUUACCACCUACACUGAGACUGUGCUACUAGUAAAUUAUGAUUAUUAUCAUCAACCCAUUAUUAGUCAACAAUUUGCUGGCAUGGUCCUAAAUAAUCUACAUUCAUUAUCUUAUUUUAUUAUCAUAAUAGCAUGAGUCUAAGUAUUAAACCAGUUUUACUGAUGGAGAAAAUGAGGCCUAGAGCUGUGAUUUGCUGGGGGAGCCAGAACAAGGAAAAGCUUGGGGUCCCAGAAAACACAGAUUCAUCCCAGAGGCAAAGGCUUAAUCACACCAGAGUUACAACAAUAGAUUCAUCUGCUGAUGGACAUACUGGAUGUGCUACUUCUAAAGUUGAGCAAUCGUGAAUUGUGCUGCUAUAAACGUGAGUACGCUGUGUCACUGUAAUAUGAUGUCUUUGACCCUUUUAAUUUUUCCACCUUGUGAUGGCAUGAAAACAAACCAGUUCAGUAGAAACCAUACUUGGAAACUGAGUUUUGAUAUUAGGCGGAAGUGGUCUGGUGCUCACUGUCUGGUGACACCAAGUAGUCCUGGUCCUCCGUGUGACCCCGAGGUUGACAACCCAUACUCUACAGUGGGCUGGGUUGCCGAGCUGUGAUGUUAGGUAAGCCAGGUGUAAAAAAUCCAUUUCUGACUUAUGAUGAGUUUGUGGAGACACAACUCUCUUUGUAGGCUGUGGGUGGCUUCAUCUCACAUCCUUUGGACACCUUGUUGCUUUCCUUUGUCUCCGCUACAUGGACACUGGUUUGGGAUCAUUUCCUUUUAUUCCUUUGACAUAUCUUGCACCAAGAUUGGUUCCAAAUGUUGUCCAUGCUUUUGGCUGUUCUGUUUAGUUGUUUUGUCUGUUUUUAUGUAGAAAUACAGAAAGUUUCAAGAGCUGUGUCACUGCUACUUCAACUUCACAGGACACUCCUCUACUCUCAGGCUUCCUACUUCGAAUAACAGGGUUGCAGUAGUUACAGAAUAAAGCCAACAUCAUUCUUGAUUGGCCUUGCACUAAACCAUAAUGUUCUGCACAAAAUAAUUCUUGUUAACCUUGGCUCUACAUUAACACCUUGGGACUCACUGUAAAGUGCUGAGUCUUUGGUCUGUACCCUGCAAGAGCCUCUGAUUUAAUUGGUCUUGUGUAGAAUACUUCCAGUAGACUGUAAGGCAGACCAAGGUUUGGCAACCACUAGUAUGGAGAAAAACAAUUUGUUAAACAUUUCUAUUGAGACCAAGCCAGUCACUGGUUGCUCAGUUCACCAUGAGUGUAGUCACUCCCCCACUCUUAGCCCACCUGGCUCAGGUGAGACAGGCCCAUUACCCGCAUCUGGAAAAGUCAAGCCACAUAAGUACAGCCAGCCAGGGUGCUCCACUCCUGUCCAAGGACAAGCAUGUGACCUGCCUGGACCAAUGAAAAAAGUCCCCAUGAUUUCUGAAAGACUCAUCAAAGAGUCGUUUUUUAUUUUUCAUUCAAAUUGAGCUUCAAGGUCAAUAUAAAGAAUUUGUUUUAGAAUAAAGCUGAGGGCAAAGAACAUUGUUGUAGGAAUGGAAAGAGCAAGAAUGUAUCCUAAUUGGCCUAAUAUAGCGAUUCCAAAUAUAUACUUAUUUCCAUCUAAAUCAGGACAAAUCGGGGAGAGAGAGAGAUGGAGAAGUCAGGUAAUUGGAGGAAAAGUAGUUCUAUCCCCGAGGAGCUGAUUGAGGUCCUGGCUUUGGAUUGUUUCCCGGAAGAACUGCGUUGCCCUCUGCUCCUUGGUUCACCUGAUUUAUAACCACUCACAGGCAUGUCGGGGGUCUUUGGACCUUGGCCUCCAGGCAGACUGCUCAGAGAAGGGAAGAGGACAGACUACAAGGCAGAGCCUCUGAGCAGACGCAAGAAAGGCCCUGGGAGACUGGAGCCAUGCCUAACACCAGCCCCUGCCCACAUUCCCCGUCGGAUGGGGCUUGUGCUGGGGUCUGCCUGGAUCGCCUGCUCAUCCACGAGGCAGGGAAGAAGCAGCACGCGGCUCCUCUCCCACUCAGGACGUGGGCUGUACACUGCACUUCUUUGGGCUUCAGCUUCUGCAUCGGUAAAGCACACCGAGGGACAUUCAUACUUCACCAGAUUCUUGAGUGAUUUAAAUAACCCCCUACAAACAAGCGCUUAGAACAGAGCCUGCAAAUACCAAACCCUCACUAUUUAUCUGUUGUUUUCACCAUUUAAUAAACUAAUCCCCGACAUAGGUACAGUGGUUAGAAUCGUGUCACAGAGGAGAAAACUGAUUUGAGAGACAAUAAUGGUUUACCUAAUGGCGUCCAGAAUGCAAGUGCCUGGGAUUCCUGAACUGACUGUCCAACUCGAGGGCUAUUAUUACCUCUUUGUUUUUAGAUAAGAAGGCAAUGGUGUGUGUCUUGACAUUCUGUAGAGUAAUUCUACAGUUUACCUAAAAGAAUAAGGAAGAAAUGUUUGUUUAAAAAAAUAGAAAAAUAAUGGGUGAUAAGUCAUACAUGAUUGCAUCAAAAAGGUAAACAUUUCUAUGUGAAAAUAGAAGAUAAUUAGGGUGAAGGCAGUGUUCUUUAUCUUGAUUGUGGGGUUACACAACUAUAAUUGUAGCCAAAAUUUUUUAAAAUUUACAUUUAAAAGGGGAGAAUUUUGUGUGUGAAAAUUAUACCACCAUAAAAACUUGAGAAAAAGGUAAUUAUAAUUUAAAAAGGAAGAAAUCAACUAGGCAGAAAUGUUGCCUAUAACAUAUUUGCUAGAGCACCAACCAAAGCCAAACAAUCAUAACCUAUGGCCCAGCAGUUCUAGCCCUGAGUAUACACCCAGAAAGGAGCACAUAUCUGCCAGGUGAAAUGUAAAGAGAUGUUCCUAGUUGCUUUAUCUGUAAUAGCUCCAGAUUACAAACAACCCAAAUUUCCAUCAACAAUAGAAUGGUUAAGAAAUCGUGGUAUUCAGACAAUAGAAAACUACAGAGAAAUGAAAAAGAAUGAACUCAAUAUAUAACAUAGACGAAUUUUCCAAACCUAAUGUUUCAUUUCAGAAGCUUAACCCAACCAAACACACACAGGAUGGCUCCAUGUGUAAGAAGUCUGGAACACGCUAAGCUGGUCCACAAUGACAGAAAAGUCAUGACUUGGCAGUGGCCACUGCUAACUGGCAGGGGACAUGGGAAGCCUUAGGGUGCUGGGACUGUCCUAUAUCUCCACCUGGGAGUUAGUUAUAUGGGUGUGUACAUAUGUAAAUAUUGGUUGAGCUAUGUAUUUAAGAACAUUCACUUUUCUCUAUGUUAAGUUACACAUAAAAAAGACCUAAUCUGAAUUUUUUAAAAUGGGCAAAGGACUUGAGAUCAGGAAAGAAGCAAUCUUAACUGACUUAACUAUUAUGGACACAUAGUUACACAUGCCAAAUCACUAAUCACACAAAUGCAAAUGAAAAGUUUUUCUGAAAUUAUAAUGCCUCUAUUUGAGGGACAUGAAGUUAUGCGCAAGGCCCUGAGAUGAAGAUUUUUGAGGCAAGUGAUUCUCAAGGAACUUCUGAAACAAGAACCCAGAAAGCAGAAAAGGAAGAGGAAGAAGAUGCCAAGAAAGGGCACAGUUUCAGGAGAUCUUGCCUGCUCAGCACUGUCCCGUGGGAACUGUGAGAUGCAUUGACUCCACAUACAGUGGACUCUCGAGUUAGACUGGACUAACAUAUGAACGACUUGGGUUAUGACCGGAAUUUUAGUUUUAACUUAUAACCAAAGUCUUGAGUUACCAUCCAAAUGCCUGCCACUUGUUCUUCCAGAUGGUCUCAGAUACAAAUUUAACCCUUAAAGAGUGCUGGAGGGAAUAUGACAACAUCCUUUUCUGUGUGGGGUUCACUGAGAAAUCCUGGGCCAAUGUCUCUCUAAGGACACUGAGAUCUGCCAGUGUACAGGAGAGAGACUUUGAGGGCUGUGUAGAGGAGGCUGACCCUUCAAUUGACCAACUUGAGUUACAGCCAGCGAACUGAGUUUGUAAGUCAAGGGUCCAUGGUAUUUUAUUCUGUCUCAAGGUGAAUCCUCUAGGCUUUCAUAGUCUCUAGUGCUCAGGGCCAUUGACUCUCGCUCCCGCACAGACUUCUAGCUUGCAGUGCCCUGGGCAGUUCUCUGCAGAAGGGAGCGGGGGAUGGGCACAGAGAGACAAACAAGCAGAAGGAUCCUAGUCAGAGCUCUGGUAAGCUUCUGUGAUAACUGCCUUGCUGCAGGGUUGGAGAUUAUCAACCUGAAGGUUUCAUCUUUGCACAAGAUUGAACUGACCAAUUGCGACAGAAAAGCCAGUGGAGAAAUAAAGUCAGGAGUGAAUGACCGAAUGGUCUUUCCUGGAAAAGGCUAGGUCUUCAGUGUAACCUCUCCACAUUUUAUGUGAAAUAGGUGCUUUGUUCCCAGUGUUGGCAGAAGGGAGAUGUGGGAGAUUUGUGGACAAUGAAGUGAGGAGUGGAUUCCUUGGGGAAGGACUCAGAUCCUAGUUAAAUCUUGGAAUCGAUGAGUCAUGGCUAUGUCACAGCAGAGCGUUUGGGUUGUGAAACUGAGUGUGUUCUUCCUGGCGGGCCUAUUCGGUCACCCUCAAUCCUUGUCCCCAAGCGCAGUCCCUUCUGUCCUGGAGUUCUUUGCUCCUAACUGCGUUUGAUCUUCAUGACAUCUUGUGAGGCAGCAAGAUCAGCUGUUUUCCAGAUGAGUAAACUGAGGCCAGAUAGGUUAACUUCUUGUUCCUCAAAUUCAGCAGCACAUUGCAAUCAUUUGCUGGAGUUUUGUAAACUGUUACUUGGAAUGCUUGUGUAUGAGGACCAAUUGCUGUUUUUAAAACAGUUCCCAAGGUGAUCCUGAAAUACAGCCAGAUCUGGAAAAAGAGGGAUUACAUGACAUUUCCAGUGUCCUGAGAGAAUAAGAGAACACUCAUUCUUGGGUCAUUAAUCUAUCCUUUUCACUCAUUCACCCAUUUAUGGAGCAUUUACUGCGAAUACUAGGAAUGCAACAGUCAGAAGUGGAACAGUGACAAUUCUGCUGGCAUCUUAAGAGAUUACAGGUGGGAAGGUUGGGGCAUCAGGUGAGAGGAACACAGUGUAGCACUGUGGUGUUCCCACGAAACUGUCCAUGCUGUCAGGCAGACGGACCCGCUAUGAACUUGGGGAUAAGAGAGACAUUGAACUAAUCAUUCCGAAAGUGAUCAAAAUUCCUAAAACUCAAGUUUUCAUGCAUUUGGGGAACGAUAAUGUCAAUCAUCUUCACACACAGGAGAGUCGCUGGCCAUGUUGGGCCAUUGGCACCGUCUGUGAAGAGAAUCAAAUCUGCUGUUAUACACAUCAAAUGCCC